rnacentral:rRNA from 1 species
UACGUGAGGGGGCAAGCGUUGUCCGGAAUCAUUGGGCGUAAAGAGCGUGUAGGCGGUCCGGUAAGUCGGCUGUGAAAGUCCAGGGCUCAACCCCUGGGGAUGCCGGUCGAAUACUGCCGGACUAGAGUUCGGAAGAGGCGAGUGGGAAUUCCCGGUGUAGCGGUGAAAUGCGCAGAUAUACGGGAGGAACACCUAUGGGCGAAGGCAGCUCGCUGGGACGUUACUGACGCUGAGAACGCGGAAAGCGUGGGGAGCAAACAGG